rnacentral:lncRNA from 1 species
UGCGCCGUGAUGGGUUGCUGAGUCGGUCAACUGAAUAAAGGUUGGAUGCAUGCAUGCUAGAUAUGAGUAAGUUACUUACCUUGUACUCGCUUUGUAUAAUUUUUUCUUUAUCCGAUUUGCUCCGUGAUUUGAAUGACAGAUUUCUGUUCAUAUUUGCAUGCAGCGCUGGCUGUGCCUCAUUCUCAGUCUGAAUUUCCUGGGAGAGCUCCGCUGAUGAUACAAAAAGAGAAGACAUGAAUGAGUUCCAGAGAAAGUGCCUGCAGAAACAUCCGAGUUUUAGUCACUAGCUGUUAUUUCCAGUUGCAAUUUGUGUUCCAAUAAUGUUUCGACGCUUUCUACGAGAUUCAGUCAGCUGUUCUGAAAAUGUGUUUACUCGUAGUUUGGCAUAGAUUAAUUUGCUAUAAGAGUGUAAAAUCAUGAUUAAUUUUUCUUUCCAAUUGUUUAUUUUUCUUGAGUGAUUUGAACAACCUGCAACCGAAAAUAAGGAAAGGAUGAACAUGUUUUUCCUGCUUUUACUGCACUUGCAAUACUCGUGUUCUGUGUGACGCUGGGAUACAAACAGUGAAAUUCAUGUCUAGAUAUAGCUAGUAGCCUCAUACUGAUCGGCUCCUGAG